rnacentral:rRNA from 1 species
AGAGUUUGAUCCUGGCUCAGGAUGAACGCUAGCGGAAGGCUUAAUACAUGCAAGUCGAGCGGUAUAGUGACUUCGGUUGCUAGAGAGCGGCGCACGGGUGAGUAACGCGUACAUGACCUACCUCUAAGAUCGGGAUAGCCCUGGGAAACUGGGAUUAAUACCGGAUGUGAUAAUAAGUAUAAGGAUUUAUUAUUAAAGUUGCGGCGCUUAGAGAUGGGUGUGCGUCUGAUUAGCUAGUUGGUAGGGUAAAGGCCUACCAAGGCGACGAUCAGUAGGGGGCGUGAGAGCGUGAUCCCCCACACGGGUACUGAGACACGGACCCGACUCCUACGGGAGGCAGCAGUAGGGAAUAUUGGUCAAUGGACGAAAGUCUGAACCAGCCAUUCCGCGUGCAGGAAGAAGGUCCUAUGGACUGUAAACUGCUUUUAGCAGAGAAGAAACGCCUUCAUUUAUGAGGGU